GAUGAACGCUGGCGGCGUGCCUAAUACAUGCAAGUCGAGCGAACAGACGAGGAGCUUGCUCCUCUGACGUUAGCGGCGGACGGGUGAGUAACACGUGGAUAACCUACCUAUAAGACUGGGAUAACUUCGGGAAACCGGAGCUAAUACCGGAUAAUAUAUUGAACCGCAUGGUUCAAUAGUUAAAGACGGUUUUGCUGUCACUUAUAGAUGGAUCCGCGCCGCAUUAGCUAGUUGGUAAGGUAACGGCUUACCAAGGCAACGAUGCGUAGCCGACCUGAGAGAGUGAUCGGCCACACUGGAACUGAGACACGGUCCAGACUCCUACGGGAGGCAGCAGUAGGGAAUCUUCCGCAAUGGGCGAAAGCCUGACGGAGCAACGCCGCGUGAGUGAUGAAGGUCUUCGGAUCGUAAAACUCUGUUAUUAGGGAAGAACAAAUGUGUAAGUAACUAUGCACGUCUUGACGGUACCAAAUCAGAAAGCCACGGCUAACUACGU
rnacentral:rRNA from 1 species